rnacentral:rRNA from 2 species
GACGAACCGUGCGAACGUUAUUCGGAAUCACUGGGCUUAAAGCGCGUGUAGGCGGGUGACCGCGUCGGUCGCUGAAAGCCCCCGGCUCAACCGGGGGAUGGGCGCCGAUACGGGUCGCCUGGAGGGGCGUAGGGGGACCUGGAACUUCCGGUGGAGCGGUGAAAUGCGUUGAGAUCGGAAGGAACGCCCGUGGCGAAAGCGAGGUCCUGGACGCCAUCUGACGCUGAGACGCGAAAGCCAGGGGAGCGAACGGG